GAAGCCGUCUGGUCCGGGGGCUUUAUCCGCAUGUAUCGCAAAGGUAGCUCGCUUUAUCUCUUCUGGUGUUGGUUCCUUGAUUAAUAGCUCGUUUUGCUCUGUGGAGAUACACGGUUUUAACGCCUCAUUUACUGCAGAGGAAACUACAUAGCCCGGCGAGUCGAAGAGCUUCUCAUAGAAGUCGCAAAUAACAGCUGAGAUUUGAUCUUCUUCGAAGCUUGGGGUUCCAGCUUCGUUCUCCAUCACUGAGAGUCGGUUUCUUGUCUUUCUGCCUUUGGUUAUAGCAUGGAAGUACCCCGUGUUAGCGUCUCCCAAGGUAAGCCAUAGCUGCCUGCUCCUCUGUCUCCAAAACUCCUCCUCCAUUUUAUAGGCUAGUAGAAGUUUAGUGUUUAUGUCUUGGAUAAGGGUUUCUUCUGGGAUCGGGUUUGACAUGGCGGUAUCUAGUUGAGAUUUUAGCUGUUCCAGCGUUCUAUUGCUCUUCUCAUGAAACUCUUUGCUCCAUUUGCAGAUGGCCUUCCUACAAUGUGAGAGGCGCUCUUCUACCUGCAGAUCAGCGUACCUGUCCCAGGUACUGGCACCUAUUAGAAGGGAAAAGAUCAGCCCACUCGGUGUUGCUCAUUGCCCUAUCCAAUCUGCAUUGUACCAGAUGGGACCGUCUCUGACCCCUCCACGAGAGGAAGCUUCCAUGGUGCUUGAGAUCAUACAGAUCAUUGCGACCAAUGAAGGUUCUGAAUGCGACGAAAGUGCCUUCUGCUCGACUGGGGCCCCCACAUUUCUCUUCGUUGUUCACUAUUUCGUUAAAGUCGCCAGUGAGGAACCAAGGUUCUCCUAUUGGGGGUCGGAGAGUGGACAACUCAUUCCAGAGGAUAUAUCUUUUUGUGUGAUCUGGCUCGCCAUAUACAAAGAGCAAGAAAAGACCUCCUCCAGCAUUUAUAGGGGGAACUGCGUGGUGAUGCUGUGGUUGGAACCACUCGAGCUCUUUGAGGACCAUGUCUGUCUCGUUUUUGGUCUCCGAUAAGAAGAUAACAUCAGGGGAGUUUUUCCGAUGUAUCUCCUUUAACCGCUGGACUGUUGCGGGGUUCCCCAGCCCACAACAGUUCCAGCUUACCACGACUAAGGAGCCGGGUGUGGAGAUGGCCGAAAAUCCCCUUUCUUUCUUGCCAUUGCUGGGAUCAGGUUGAUAGGAGGAUUAAGGCCCGUCGUAGAUUGGACUCUGCUUGUACUUCCUUGUCGUUGUCUCGCUUGAUUCUGGCUUUGAGAUUGAUUUGGUGAGGCUCCCGUCCUUGCAGUUUUGCAGGUCUCCCCCUCUUCCGUUUCUGUGGUUCAGUCAUUCCCUCCCUUCUGGUAUUUUCCUUUAGUUGUGGGGAGGUAUGUGAGUUGCCUACUCCACCACUGUCGAUAUAGAGGAUCUGAUUUGCUGCAGGGGGGUGCACCUGACUAACUGGUGGAGGUGUUCGGGAUCUUCGCGGCGUCUCCUGAUCUCUGAGGGUAGGUAUUUCAGAGGUAGUGACAUCUCUUCUUCUGUUUAUAGGUUGAGACGUUGCUAAUUGAGCUGUGCGAAUGAUUCUUGCUGCAGUCUCCUCAGU